CAGAUUAAUCUUAUUAGUUAAGAAUUUCAUUUACACUGAAAUUUGGGUUGUGCAAGUCAAUAUAAUCUGA
rnacentral:tRNA from 1 species